UAGGGAAUCUUCCGCAAUGGACGAAAGUCUGACGGAGCAACGCCGCGUGAGUGAAGAAGGAUUUCGGUUCGUAAAACUCUGUUGUUAGGGAAGAAAAAAUGUAUAGUAACUAUAUACAAAAGAGACGGUACCUAACCAGAAAGCCACGGCUAACUACGUGCCAGCAGCCGCGGUAAUACGUAGGUGGCAAGCGUUGUCCGGAAUUAUUGGGCGUAAAGCGCGCGCAGGUGGUUUAGAAAGUCUGAAGUGAAAGCCCACGGCUCAACCGUGGAGGGUCGUUGGAAACUAAUAAACUUGAGUGCAGGAGAGAAAAGUGGAAUUCCUAGUGUAGCGGUGAAAUGCGUAGAGAUUAGGAGGAACACCGGUGGCGAAAGCGGCUUUUUGGCCUGCAACUGACACUGAGGCGCGAAAGCGUGGGGAGCAAACAGG
rnacentral:rRNA from 1 species